rnacentral:rRNA from 1 species
CCUGCCCAUUGAAUAAUUUAAAAGGCCGCGGUAUAUUAACUGUGCAAAGGUAGCAUAAUCAUUAGUUUUUUAAUUGAAGGCUUGUAUGAAGGGUUGGACAAAGAGUAGUCUGUUUUUAUUUUUAUUUUUGAAUUUAACUUUUAAGUGAAAAGGCUUAAAUAAAUCUGAGGGACGAUAAGACCCUAUAAAUCUUUAUAUUAAAUUAUUUUUAGUUAAUUAAUAUUGUGAACAUAAUAAUAAAGUAAGGAAAUAUUGUGUUGGGGUGAUGAGAAUAUAAAUAAUAACUGUUCUAAAAUUAAAACAAAAUUAUUUGUAAGUAAUAAUAGAUCCUUUAUUGAGAUUAAAAGUUUAAGUUACUUUAGGGAUAACAGCGUUAUUUUUUUUGAGAGUUCUUAUCGAAAAAAAAGUUUGCGACCUCGAUGUUGAAUUAAAAUUUCUUUGUGGUGUAGCUGUUACAAGAGAGAGUCUGUUCGACUUUUAAAGGAGUCUGGGCA